CUACGGCUCCAGAGGAAGCCACGGCUAACUCUGUGCCAGCAGCCGCGGUAAUACAGAGGCGGCAAGCGUUGUUCGGAAUUAUUGGGCGUAAAGAGCACGUAGGCGGCCUUGCAAGUCAGUUGUGAAAGCCUUCCGCUUAACGGAAGAAUGCCAGCUGAUACUACAGGGCUUGAGUACGGGAGGGGAGAGUGGAACUUCUGGUGGAGCGGUGAAGUGCGUAGAUAUCAGAAGGAACGCCGGCGGCGAAAGCGACUCUCUGGCCCGAAACUGACGCUGAGUGUGCGAAAGCUAGGGGAGCAAACGGGAUUAGAUACCCCGGUAGUCCUAGCCGUAAA
rnacentral:rRNA from 1 species